UACGAAGGGGGCUAGCGUUGCUCGGAAUUACUGGGCGUAAAGGGCGCGUAGGCGGAUAGUUUAGUCAGAGGUGAAAGCCCAGGGCUCAACCUUGGAACUGCCUUUGAUACUGGCUAUCUUGAGUAUGGGAGAGGUGAGUGGAACUCCGAGUGUAGAGGUGAAAUUCGUAGAUAUUCGGAAGAACACCAGUGGCGAAGGCGACUCACUGGCCCAUUACUGACGCUGAGGCUCGAAAGCGUGGGGAGCAAACAGG
rnacentral:rRNA from 1 species